GUAGGUGAACCUGCGGAAGGAUCAUUCAUAAUAAAGUGUUUUAUGGCACUUUUUAGAAAUCCAUAUCCACCUUGUGUGCAAUGUUAGAUCUCGUCAAUCUUGGCGAGAUUUUUAUACAUCAACUCAUUCUUUAACUAAUUUGUCUGAAAAAUAUUAUGAAUACUUAAUUCAAAAUACAACUUUCAACAACGGAUCUCUUGGCUCUC
rnacentral:misc_RNA from 1 species